UUAAUGAGCGCUACAAGAGCUGAGUUGGCCCUGCAUUUAUGGGUGUCCAAGGCAGUCGACGGUCCAGAAGUGAACAUAUAGCCACGUCAUCUAGUGCUGGGUGCUUCAGGGCGUAGCCUCACAUUAGGGUCCCUUCAGAGAUGCUGCAGAAAGUGAUUUUUCUUCUGCUUACUAUCAACGCCUUCGGUGACCCGCAGGAUCCACAGAAUGAACCGAAGAAACCGUGGGCGUACAAGCCGGCUGCACCAGUGACGCAAGCGACUACCUCAGAACCCCCGCCCUCUGAAGUACAGUUUCCGCAGUACGGUCUCGAAGACACUGAAACGCAGUCAAACCCGGACGGACCUCAGCCAGAAUAUAUGGACUACGCAAACGUGCAGGAAUCUCCUCUCGAGGAGCCAAGGGGGCAGCGACACUAUACACUGUCUCGGGCAUAUUCUGGUACAUGUCCUUACGACAACCCAAGACCAAUCACGCAGAGUUGCAGCUGUAAUGAAGCCUGCGGGCGAUCACGUGGGACCACGAACCAGUGUCCAUCUCAGUGGGACGACUGUGUAUAAAGAGCGCGAGUGUAUGUCAGUAAAAGGGGUCUUUAAGCGGU